rnacentral:lncRNA from 1 species
UUUUUUGAAGGAGGUAAUUGAGCCCUUGAGAAAAAUCUUUAAGUAACUUUUCCAAGACAAUAAUGAGUAAUAAUCAACAGAACUGGUAUUUGAACCCAGGUCUUCUGACUCCAGAUCUAUCAUUCUUUCUGUUGUACCAUGCUGCCCCUUGUUCAUUUAAUAGUCAAUAGAGGGGACAUAUUCAUUUUUUCUUAGCUUUUAUAGUUAAUAUUUCUGGGUUUUCUUUGGAACAUGUCACAGGUUCACCCAGAGAAUUUUGUCUUUAGUUUACUAUGGUGUACAAAUAUCUGAGUGGAGCUUGAAACAUUUUAAAAUUCAGGACCUGUUCCUUAAGAUCAUUUCUUUUCUAAGAGGAAAUUACUUGGAACAAAUAUGACAUUGAUUUUCCAUCUCACUUUAUUAUUUUCAAUCUACUUAAGACUUGACAACCUCCAUAUAGUUAGAGAGCUUUCUGAUUAGAUUUUGUGGCUUUAAAACAGAGUAUAGAUGAGAGUGAUGUUGGCUGAAACUGCCAAAGAGAUAUAAGAGUAAGGAUUUCUCUCUCUCUCUCUCUCUCUCUCUCUCUCUCUCUCUCUCUCUCUCUCUCUCUCUCUGUCUCCUUCUCUCUCUCUGUCUCUCCAGCUUGCUUAUGAUGCCUGGGCAAAUAAUUCUGCAUCAGCAGUCAGGCUGUGGAAGCAAGAUGAAAUGACAUUCAGGAGAGAAGAAAAGAAGGAGGAAUGGGAGCCACAGUGUCAAAGAGGAUCAAAAGACAGAAGUCUGGAGAAAUGUGAAGAUGUUGAUGCUGAUGCUUCCGAGAAAGAAGAUGGAAGCUUGCAUGAACCAGAAAUUCUAACGCAGAGAAUAAUCGAUAUGGUCAGAUUUUCAUGGAUCUUUGGGAAGGUGCUGCUGGAAGACACCAUAGCAGCAGUGCACUCCCUGUAUAAAGAAAAUUGGGAAAUAACCACCAUGUUGAGGGUGGAGUGGUG